UACAGAGGUCCCAAGCGUUGUUCGGAUUCAUUGGGCGUAAAGGGCGCGUAGGCGGCGGGGUAAGUCGGGUGUGAAAUCUCAGAGCUCAACUCUGAAAUGGCACUUGAUACUGCUCUGCUAGAGGACUGGAGAGGAGAUUGGAAUUCACGGUGUAGCAGUGAAAUGCGUAGAUAUCGUGAGGAAGACCGGUGGCGAAGGCGGAUCUCUGGACAGUUCCUGACGCUGAGGCGCGAAGGCCAGGGGAGCAAACGGG
rnacentral:rRNA from 1 species